rnacentral:piRNA from 1 species
UAAGAUGUGCCGGAUGUGAGCAGU